AUCAGAGCUUUAGAGACGCAACUGAGGGAUGAGAUGAACAAGAAAAAUGAAGAAAUUUCAAAUCUUACUCUGAGUCAAGUGGAGUUGAGAAAGGAAAAUAGAGACAGAGAAAUAGCUUUUUCAGCUUCACUGAUGGAAUCUGGCAGUGGAUAUAUUGGUCCUUUUACCACUGAAAUCACACUAACCUACAGGAAAGUCUUCACAAACAUAGGGAACGCCUACAACCCAAUUACAGGUAAUUAUCAAUGAAAUGGAGUCAUAAAACUCAGUUUAUAGUUGAAAUACAAGUUCAACUCAUUUAUCUCCACUUAUGUAUAUUUUCAGUGUGCUCUAGUCACUUACUUUACUAAACGCCACUUAAAAUGAGUGUCUAUGAGAAGAUUAAAAAAUCUGGACAUUUUCAAUGACAGGAGAAGAGACAUUCUGAUGAUUACUGUGUAAAGAAUUUUCCAAACUUAACAUGAAGUUUUAAUCAACUCAAGUCGAUCUGAGAAAGCAGCAGCUGUUAAACACACAUGAUUAUUUCAGCACAGGGUGUCAGUGCUCGUCUAAACUAGUGACUGUGAUGCUGAAGUGUGUGAGACCUGAUGAAUAUAAACCUUUUAUUAAUUUAAAUAGUUUAAUCACUAUUCUGUGUAAUUUUUUCAUUGCCAAUAAUUUCACUGUAUGUAAUUUGCAUGUUUAUGCCAA